UACAGAGGGUGCGAGCGUUAAUCGGAAUCACUGGGCGUAAAGCGCACGUAGGCGGAUCUUUAAGUCAGGGGUGAAAUCCUGGAGCUCAACUCCAGAACUGCCCUUGAUACUGGGGAUCUCGAGUCCGGGAGAGGUGAGUGGAACUCCGAGUGUAGAGGUGAAAUUCGUAGAUAUUCGGAAGAACACCAGUGGCGAAGGCGGCUCACUGGCCCGGUACUGACGCUGAGGUGCGAAAGCGUGGGGAGCAAACAGG
rnacentral:rRNA from 1 species